UGAGAGUGAGAGAGCUGAUUAGAUUGGAGAGAGCCAAGGAGGUAUGGCUGUACUAUUGAGCAGAGAGGGAGCGUGACUGAGUGAACGCAGAAUCACAGCAAAGUCCUCAAGACGGCGGAUGGACUGGACCUAAAUCAACAAACUGACAAAGAAAAUCUGGAUGGAUACCAUGUAUAAAGGAUGAAGUAUUUGCCUUAAUGAGCGAGUAUCUCUGCAUUAGUGUUGCAAGGAAACCACCGGGAGAAAAAGGAAAGGAAAAAAAAAUCAAAAACGGACAACUCGUUUCUCUCUCUUGGAAGGAGAGCUGUGAGCCGGAACAGAGUCAACGGUGGGACUCAGAGGGAUUUUAAAUAUACUCUCAUGCCGGGGUGUGUGUGAGUCAGUGUGUGUAAGCUGAUAAUAGCAGCUCCAUUGGUAUUCAGCGGAGGGAGCUCCAGGAUCUCGCUGCGCCUUUUCCCCAGGAUGGGAUCACAGAGCAGGGAUUGUGCUUGCCUGAGGAGAGCCCGCUGAAAUGGACCCAAACCCUUGGAGCAAUGGACACCAAAUGGGCAGCAUGGAGACCAACGUGUUCCCUUCAGCAGAAAGCUUUCCACACCUAAGCGCCUCCACCAACUCCAGCCAUCCACUCAAGCCAGGGCUAAGCCUGCAGAGUUGAAGUAGGGGUUUGCCUGGAGCUGUCUGCAGAAAACAGAGAUAAGAAGGCCUCAGAGGAGUCAACGUGUUACAAACCAGUCAAUGCGUUGAGCAAUUAAGCUGCUUGAACUUCAUCCGCAAUGAAAUAUGAUGCAGUGAUGCUUGAGCAGUGGUUCAGAGCUUUUGGACGUGUGUGGAUUUAUCAGCUGGAUAUUUUGUUGAG